rnacentral:sRNA from 1 species
GCUGGGCAUGGUGGCACAUGCCUGUAAUCCCAGAGGCUUGGGAAGCUGAGGCAGAAGCAUCAUUGAGUUCAAGAUCUGCCUCAGCCUCUU